rnacentral:rRNA from 1 species
UACGUAGGGUGCAAGCGUUAAUCGGAAUUACUGGGCGUAAAGCGUGCGCAGGCGGUUUUGUAAGUCUGUCGUGAAAGCCCCGGGCUCAACCUGGGAAUUGCGAUGGAGACUGCAAGGCUUGAAUCUGGCAGAGGGGGGUAGAAUUCCACGUGUAGCAGUGAAAUGCGUAGAGAUGUGGAGGAACACCGAUGGCGAAGGCAGCCCCCUGGGUCAAGAGUGACGCUCAUGCACGAAAGCGUGGGGAGCAAACAGG